AUUGAACGCUGGCGGCAGGCCUAACACAUGCAAGUCGAACGGUAACAGGAAGCAGCUUGCUGCUUCGCUGACGAGUGGCGGACGGGUGAGUAAUGUCUGGGAAGCUGCCUGAUGGAGGGGAAUAACUACUGGAAACGGUAGCUAAUACCGCAUAAUGUCGCAAGACCAAAGAGGGGGACCUUCGGGCCUCUUGCCAUCGGAUGUGCCCAGAUGGGAUUAGCUUGUUGGUGGGGUAACGGCUCACCAAGGCGACGAUCCCUAGCUGGUCUGAGAGGAUGACCAGCCACACUGGAACUGAGACACGGUCCAGACUCCUACGGGAGGCAGCAGUGGGGAAUAUUGCACAAUGGGCGCAAGCCUGAUGCAGCCAUGCCGCGUGUAUGAAGAAGGCCUUCGGGUUGUAAAGUACUUUCAGCGGGGAGGAAGGGAGUAAAGUUAAUACCUUUGCUCAUUGACGUUACCCGCAGAAGAAGCACCGGCUAACUCCGUG
rnacentral:rRNA from 1 species